CAGGAAACAAAGAGAACCCAGAGAGCUCUGCUUUUACAUUUUAAGCAGAAGGAAGAGAGCUUGGAGAGCAAGUGGACAGCCCUGGAGAGGAAAGGGUGAAUGCCAUGCAGCUGGAGAUUCAGGAGAGAGAUUUCUUGACCCAGGAGAAGUCUCUCACCGCGAGCAAGCAUUUUUAGACACCAAUAGAUGGAAACACGGAUUUGAAUACCCCAGAAUAGCUGUUGAGUCAUGAAGAUGAAACAGAGGAAAAUCAAGUCAGAAGCACCAAAAGAAGAACCACUGCCUGAGCCAUCUGUUUGAUCUAGCAGCUGUUUGCUUUUAGUAAAGAGCACUGAGACUCAGGCAACGUCUCCUUUGUAAAGUAGAUCUUUCUUUUUCCUUUUUGUCUUUUUAUGUUUCUUGUUGCACAACCUUUGGAAUACAUUUCAGUUUCCAGGAAAGGAGUAUUCUUUUUUCUUUGGGACCACAGCCUUUCUAACAGGCAAAAGAACAAACCGAAACACAGAAGUUGCACCUCAUUAUGAGGAAAAGCUUUAACUUGGAGGUUCACAGAGCACUGGAAUGGGCUGCACAGAGAGGUUGCAGAGGAUCCAUCUCUGGAGAUAUUCCAGAGUCACAUGGCCACUGGGUGAACCUGUUCUGGUGAUGGGGUUGGAUUAAAAGAUCUCCAGAGGUCUCUUCCAACCAGCUGUUCAGUGGUAUUCUGCUGGCUAGCUACGUGUGCAGUUGGCUAGCUCUGUUACCACCUGAGUGCCAUAAAGGGACAACUAAACCAGAAGCAGAAAUUACCUGCUUUUGGCAGUACUCCUUAGGGGAGAACGCCUUUGAAAAAUAGUCUUUCAUCUUGUCAAUCAGGUUUCUUAAGGUAACACUUGAAUCUCAUUUAAAAAUCUUUAAAGUUUUGCAGUAAGAAAAGGGUGAAAACAUCUCAUUGAUUUGUGCAUUUAUUUGGGGAUAUAAGGAACAAGCAGGAAAUAAAGCAUAAACUGAAUACAGAAAGGAGAGGUUCAUGAGACCACUUGCAAAAGUGGCAGGAGAAAAUAUGGCUGAAUAGUGCCAGUGUGAGCAGGUCUUCGCUACAGUGCAGUAAUUUUUCAUGAACACAAUUACUUACUAUCAAUUAUAUGCUUAUAUUUUUGCUAUAGUAAGUAAUCAAAAUACUUACUUUUCAAUUAAAAUGGAUAGCAAUUAAAAAUAUUAUGAAGCCAGAAGCAGAAAUCAGCAAAAUUUGGCCUCUUUCAUGCCUGUGUAAUGAAAAAGAACACAGUCAUAGAAUUUUCAAAGAUGUAUAAGCUCCAACAGUGUGUGAAGACUGAAAAUGCAAUUAUAGCAUAAAAGUAUCCAACUCAGUAUAGAAAAAGUUGGGGAUAUUUUCUAGCACCUAUAACCAGAAUGGAGGUGUGUAUUUCCUUUUGCAACAUGUCUGGAAAAGGUUUAGAAAUCUAUUAUUGUUUGAAUCUAUUAUUGAGAGUGAUGGA